rnacentral:rRNA from 1 species
AAAUGACUCUGGUCAAUCGAUAUCUAGGAUCUUGCAUCAAUGAAGAACUUGGUGUGAAUUGCAGAAUCCCAUGAACCAUAGAGUAUUUGAACGCAAGUUGCGCCCGAAGCCAUUAGGCUGAGGGCACAUCUGUCUGGGAGUCAUGCA